GGGAAUUGUUCGCAAUGGGCGCAAGCCUGACGACGCAACGCCGCGUGGAGGACGAAGAUCUUCGGGUCGUAAACUCCUUUCGAUCGGGAAGAACGGCUUCCGGGUGAACAAUCCGGAAGAGUGACGGUACCGAGAGAAGAAGCCCCGGCUAACUCUGUGCAAGCAGCCGCGGUAAUACAGGGGGGGCAAGCGUUGUUCGGAAUUACUGGGCGUAAAGGGCUCGUAGGCGGCCAACUAAGUCCGACGUGAAAUCCCCAGGCUUAACCUGGGAACUGCGUCGGAUACUGGAUGGCUUGAAUUCGGGAGAGGGAUGCAGAAUUCCAGGUGUAGCGGUGAAAUGCGUAGAUAUCUGGAGGAAUACCGGUGGCGAAGGCGGCAUCCUGGACCGAGAUUGACACUAAAGCGCGAAAGCCAGGGGAGCAAAC
rnacentral:rRNA from 1 species